GGCGUGGAGGGCCCGAGCGAUUCUUUGCACCCUUGCGUGGCUGCGCCGGAAGGAGGUGCUAAUUUUCAGGACCUGCCACUUCCAGUUUAAAUCUCAAGGAAGCCUUGAGCUACACUGCCUAAUAGGAUCAUUUAUGUUGGGUGCUUUGGGCCAUGCCAUAUCUGUACUAGAUCCAGAGGAACUAGAUACUAAAGAUCCAGUCUGGACACCAAGGCUAGUGGGAUAACAGCUAUCGUGUUUUGAAGACAGUCAUUUAGCCCUCCAGAGAGGUCCAUGUGGCAAGGAGCAGAGUUCCUCCUGCCAAAAGCCAACAGGAACUUGUCUGCCAUCCAAGGUGGCAUUCAAACCAUCUUGGAAGGGAAUCUUCCAGCUACAGUCUGGAGCCUGUGGUCCAGAUGACUGCAGCCUCCGCUUAUAUCUUGACUUCAACCUCCUGAGAGACCUUGAGUCAUAACCACCCAGCUAAGUCAGUUCUGGAAUCCUGAUCACAGAAACUGAAUGAGAUAGUAAAUGUUCAUUGAUUUAAGCUGUUCAGUUUGGGGAUAAUUUGUUAUACAACAGUAAGUAAUAAAGGAGAGCUCCACAGUGAAGUUUAUGAAGCUACCAUAACCUUAAGGACAAAAUCUGAUGAAGGUAAACCCAAAAGAGAAAAUCAUAGGAUGAUUUUAUGUAUGAAUAGUAGAGAUUUUAAAAAUCCAUGUAAAGUGUUAAAAUUUAUCCAGGCAUUAUUUAAGAUAAUAAUACAACACGACCAAAUAAGAUUUGGCCUAGGACUGGAAGUAUGGAUUAACAUUAGAAAAUCUGCAUGUACUUUAUUGCAACAGGUUAAAGGAGAAAAAGCACAUUAUUUCAUCAGAUGCCAAAAAUUCAUAAAUGAUUCCUAAUAAAAACUCUUAAAGUAGAAUUAAAAGGAAAGUACAUCAAUACAAUAAAGGCUAUUUGCGUGUGCGUGUGCACGCACGCAUGCACUCACUCACGCAAGUAUUAUUAUAAAUCGUGACCUACCAAAGCUAUUUCCAUGAAAAGAAGAAAAACAACUGGUGACAUCUAAUAGCAUGUCUAAUAUGGAAUACUUUGUGAUUUUAGUUAACACAACAACAUGAUAAAAGAUUCAGAGAAAUUGCUAUUAGAAACGAUAUCAAAUAUUUUUAUUUGUUAAUGAUAGUAUUAUAUGCAAUGAAAAUCAAGAUAGUCCAUUAAAUAUUGAUUAGCAUUAACAGAAUUUAGUAAUUAGCUAGAUACAAAAUGCAUGUAAACAAUCACUCAACCCCCCUCCCCCACAGAAUUUCAGAUAGUGCUUUGGUCUGAUGCCUAGUGUCCACACAGAUUAGAAGGCACAAUCCUAUGAAAAUCAGCAUUAUAUUUUUUGUAAGAACGUAUACGGCUUAGUUCUGUGUCACACAGUAACCCCUUUUGUUGUAUCAUUUUUUACUACAUUUAAUUUAUUUUUAAUUUUAUGAGUAAGCCAUCAGUUCCAAAAAAUUGUCAGCCAUGAUCAUUUAAAUCUCACAUCUGCAUCAUUUUAUGUUUGUCCUACUACUAUGAUUAGAUGCCUGCCAGACAAUUUUACUAACAAUUCUGGUCUCUUAAACUCACCUUUACAUUCCUCUCUGAAUUUUGGAUAAUUCCUUGACAGGUAGUUAUAUAAUUCAUGAAAAUUCUUCACCUUGGUUCAAUUGUCUAUCAAACUCAUCCAGUAAGCUUUUAAUUUUAAUUCAUUUAUAAUUAUAUAAUUUGUUAUAUAUAAAAUUAUAUAUAACUUUACACAUGUUUAUAUUUAUGUUGUAUAUAAUUAUAGACAUUUAUAUAUAUAAUUUGCUAUAGAAUAAUAUUUGUUUUCAGAAAACAAAUAGAAAUUCUGGAAAUAAGUAUAUUUUGAGAAUUUCUAUUCGUUUUUUUCAAAUCUAUGUGAUCAUUCUUUGUAUUCUCUUAGUCCCUUGGAUAUUUCACAGUUUUUUUGUGUUUUUUUUUUUAAAUAUUAAAGUUAGUCACUUGAAGUAUGUAUCUGUUAAUUCGUGCUUUUGUUUUCAUUGUCGAUGGCUCUUGGUCAUGGUGUCUUGUUUCAUGGUGUGUUUGGUUAAUCUUGGUGGUGAAGCUGUUCAUUCAUUUUCUUGGAUAUUUAUCUGUGAUUUAUCGAGACCUAAAAUGAAGCUUAUU